UCCAUGUGACAACGAGUGUCACAACUGGAGCCAGUUGUAGGGUUACUGGGGAGUCCCAUGUAGGAGCCAGGUCAAUAUCGCCCUAAAAGUAAAGUAAUAGAGCUCCCUUUAAAAAUCCAUGUGACAAUGAGUGUCAUAAUUGGAGCCAGUUGUAGGGUUACUGGGGAGUCCUACGUAGGUUCCAGGACAGGGCUCCGGCUGCUGGAGCAGGCUAGAUGCGCGAAGUUUGACUACACUUACCCUAAGCUGCGGCCCUGGGAAGGUGUUGGGCUGUGGGAAGCUGCGGGCCACCAGGAGGCUGAGCGGUCUGGUUCUCAGACUCUUGGGCAGUCAGGCACCGCUGGGAUGCUGUGUAAGAGCUGAGAACAGAGUGGGGACCCUCAGGGCUGGACCUAGCCUGAGGCCAAGGGGAAAGAUGGGGACCUCCGGCUGGUCCCGCAGGGUGCUGGAGUUGCCAAUAAUGAACUGCCAACGUGAUGCUGAGAACCAGACUCAAGCCUUCUGCAAGAGCAGUAUGAGCUUGGACCCACUGAGACAUCCAUCUCGCCACCCUGCUUUGGUCUCUUAAUGAUGCCGAGCUGCCCUUGCCUUCCCAGAACAAAUGCAAGCUCCCUAUGGGCUCUACA